rnacentral:rRNA from 1 species
GACGAACGCUGGCGGCGUGCUUAACACAUGCAAGUCGAACGAAAAGAGGGAAAGAGCUUGCUCUUUCCGGAAUUGAGUGGCAAACGGGUGAGUAACACGUAAACAACCUGCCUUCAGGAUGGGGACAACAGACGGAAACGACUGCUAAUACCGAAUAAGUUCCAAGAGCCGCAUGGCCCAUGGAAGAAAAGGUGGCCUCUACCUGUAAGCUAUCGCCUGAAGAGGGGUUUGCGUCUGAUUAGCUGGUUGGAGGGGUAACGGCCCACCAAGGCGACGAUCAGUAGCCGGUCUGAGAGGAUGAACGGCCACACUGGGACUGAGACACGGGCCAGACUCCUACGGGAGGCAGCAGUGGGGAAUCUUCCGCAAUGGGCGAAAGCCUGACGGAGCAACGCCGCGUGAGUGAUGACGGCCUUCGGGUUGUAAAACUCUGUGAUCCGGGACGAAAAGGCAGAGUGCGAAGAACAAACUGCAUUGACGGUACCGGAAAAGCAAGCCACGGCUAACUACGUG